UACGAAGGGUGCAAACGUUGCUCGGAAUUAUUGGGCGUAAAGCGCACGUAGGCGGCAUUGCAAGUCGGAUGUGAAAUCCCUCGGCUUAACCAAGGAAGUGCAUCCGAAACUGCAGUGCUUGAGUACUUAAGAGGAUCGCGGAAUUCCCGGUGUAGAGGUGAAAUUCGUAGAUAUCGGGAGGAACACCAGUGGCGAAGGCGGCUUCCUGGCCUGUUCUUGACGCUGAGGCGCGAAAGCUAGGGGAGCAAACGGG
rnacentral:rRNA from 1 species